rnacentral:rRNA from 1 species
GAUGAACGCUGGCGGCGUGCCUAAUACAUGCCAGUCGAGCGAACAGAGGGGAGGUUUGUUCCUCUGACGUUAUCGGCGGAGGGGUGAGUAACAUGGGGAUAACCCACCUAUAAGACUGGGAUAACUUCGGGAAACUGGCGCAAAUACCGGAAAAUAUAUUGAUCCACAUGAUUUAAUAAUGAAAGACGGUUUUGUUGUCACUAAUUGAUGCAUCGGCGCCGCAUUAGCUAGUUGGUAAGGUAACGGCUUACCACGGCAACGAUGCGUAGCCGACCUGAGAGGGUGAUCGCCCACACUGGAACUGAGAAACGGCCAAAACUCCAACGGGAGGCAGCAGUGGGGAAUCUUCGGCAAUGGGCGAAGGCCUGACGGGCAAACGCCGCGGGAGUGAUGAAGGUCUUCGGAUCGAAAGACGCUGUUAUUAGGGAAGAACAAAUGUGUAAGUAACUAUGCACGUCUUGACGGUACCUAAUCAGAAAGCCACGGCUAACUACGUG